AUACGGUCAUAGAAACAUGACUCGGUAUCAUUUACAACCGUUGUGUUAAAAGCUCGUCGACGCUUCAAAGAAUCAAAGUCCCCCAAAAUUGGAUUCGAAGAGAGAGAAAAACGCUUGUGUAUCUUCUGCCGGAACCCACUGCUUCCAAUCAACGUUGCAAGAUGUCUUUGCAUCUUGCUAAUCUGUCACCUCGCAUGCGCAAAGAUGAGUUGGAACGUGUUUUCAAGAAGUUUGGCCGGUGCACUGUUCAACUGAAAGAUGGAUAUGGGUUUGCAGUGUACGAUAUCCGUGGGGAUGCUGAGAAGGCUUUAAGGACCCUGAAGGGCAAAAAGAUUUGUGGUGAGGUAGUAUAUCUUUCAUGGUCAAACAAUCAGCCUAAGCCAUUGCAAAGGUUUACAAGAGCUGCCAGAUCCCAUGAUACGCGGCAUGGAAGAAAUUCUGACCGGGGUGCUAAUUUCGUUGGCCGGGGAGAUUACUCAAUGAGCAACAGAAAACAACCUGAUAAAGGUCGAGAAAGGCACAAGUCUGCUGAGAUACAUGAUGAUAGGCGCAACUUCAACCUCAAUGAUGCAGUACCUGUAUACUAUGAUAAAAGGGAAGCAGUGCUGGAGGAAGAUUGUCGUAUUGAAGUUGAACCCAACCAGAUAGAUAAUGGAAGGUGGGGAGAGCAAGUUGAUAAUCUUCAAAAUGGUACUGGUUAUGAUGUACGGAUGGGAUUUGAUCGAUAUGACCCGGAUAGAGUUGACGGAAAAGGUGAAAUAUAUGAAAACCACGGUUUGAGACACUUUGCUUGUUCACAUUCAGUAGGGACAUCACCAGACAAGAACCGAAGGGUACGCCCCGAUAAAACGAGAGGCCAUUUAACUUGUUUUAAAUGUGGAGCUCCUGGUCAUAAGAUGCGUGAUUGUCCAUUGACAGAGGCUUUGCAGGAGAAGAGCACAUACCCCUCACAGGGUAGGCAUGAUUUAAAAGCUGAGAGUGAAGUUGGAAGGGUAGAAACUAGGGCUGGGAUAGGGUUGCAGUCUUGUAUCAGGGAUCCAAAAUCUGCAAGGCAACCUGACACUGACAAGAAAUUAUCUCGUUCAGGAAAGGAUGGAGUAAAUAGCACAUGUUCUCCAGUAGACAAUGAAUCUAGGCGCGACAAAAGAAAGUAUUACAAUAGCAACCGAGAAAGGGAGAGGGACGAUCAAAUUGUAGAGUCUCAUGCUGAUAAGAAGUCGAGGGUUUCAGCCUUUUCUCGUCUACAUUCUGAUUGCACAUCUCCUGAGUUGGGCUUAUGUUCAGGACCAUCAAAGCCUUUGGCGGGAUUGAAUUCUCAUUUUAAAACUGGAUCACCUGGACCACAUUCCGUUUCUGCUAGAUCAAGGUCCAAUUCAAGAUCGGGCAGAUCCAUGUCCAAUUCGAGAUUGCACAGAUCCAGGUCCAAUUCAAGAUUUCGCAGAUCCAGGUCUAGAAGUAUCAAGGUGAGGUCAAGGUCAAGGUCAAGGUCAAGGUCAAGGUCAAGGUCAAGGUCAAGGUCAAGGUCAAAGUCAAGGUCAAAGUCAAAGUCAAGGUCUAGGUCUAGGUCUAGGUCUAGGUCAAGGUCACCAUCCUCUUCCUUGUCUAUCUCUCUUGGCCGGUCUUUACCCUCUUCUCCAAACAAGGCAGAGGCUAAUUUGAAUGGCUUUUCUGAAGGUGGACCUAGUCCUCUAUCCAAAGAAGUGCCGACUGAAGUCAGGCAACAUGAUGAACCUGAAGUAAAAGAGGAGAACCUAUCCAUAGCAAACAAAGAAAACAAAGAAGAGCAUAGUUUGAGUGGACAUAUGGAUAAUCUUACAAGUCACCAUAUCACGGAGGUUCCAAUAGAGAGGAAGCAAUCCAAACAUGAUCCGGAGACACUGGCUUCUACAACACACACUGAAAUAAGCUUGAAUGGCUUUGUGGAAGAUGAGCAGAUUCCACAAUAUCACGAGGCAGUUUUUGAGGAGAAGCAGCGGUUGGAACUGGGGCAGAAUUUUGAACCUCCACCAAACGAAUGUGUUUCUUCUUCUGGCAAGGUGAUAGAUGACUUGAAGCUAAACCAAGAACUUAAUGACGCUGAUAUUGCUUCCACUGCCCGUCAUGAAUUUUGUGAAGUCGAAGCUCCUAGCUCAUCUUUGCUUGAGAAGGAUGACAAUGAGUAUGCUGCUGUAAAAAUGUCAGCUGAGGAGCUAAAAGAAACCGAGGAACUUGAAAAUGACAGUGCUUUAGAAACAAUCAAAUCUUUGGAACCAGCCAAUAACUCAGAUCUGGAAGCUCCUUCUAAAUUGCAUGUUGGCAGCCAUCUAAGCAUAUCUGCAGAGGAAUUAUCCAGGGUACUAAAACACUAUGGUUUGAAACAUCCAGAAGAUAGUGAACAGCAUGUUGAUGUUGGAGAUUACUUUGGUUCUUCUCGAGUAUGGCCUUGGGAGAUGAUUUAUUACAGGAGACUGAAGAAGGGUCCUAUCUCAUUGGAGAACUAUGCGAGGCGAGUAGCUCAAAAUGAAGCAUUCCGCAUCACCGACAAAUAUAUUAGAAGUAGUAGUGGAUGGGGGGAAUCGAUUGAAGAACAUCAUUAGAAAACAUAAUACCUUUUUGAUGUUUCUCGUGCUUUACUUGAAUAUAAGAGGAGGUGGUCCUUUUCACUUGACAUAUAUCUAUAUAGAACUACUGAAUUUCCGUCUUGGUGUUUCUUUCUGAGAGUGGUUGCUGAAAUUUUCAAGCGAACAACAGGUGAAAUGAGUUUGGCAAAAUGACACUUGCUGUAACCGAAGUUUAUGGGCACCAAGUAAGUAAGUAGUUCAGAAGAAGAAUGCCCAUUAAUGGGUUUCCAUGAGACAUUUUUUAGGAUGUUUUUGAAGUUGAAAUGUUGAUUGAAGAUAAAAGUUGAUGAGCUCUUUGUGAACCUAUGUCUAAUGUUCCUGUAUGAUCUGUAUCCAAAUAGUUGAGAAUCAGUUGAAUAGUUCCUGUUCAAUGAUGGUCAUUAUGACCAGACAAUCAAACCUUUCCAUAGCCAUACCUUUGAUCUUGAUCAAACCCGAACAGCUCAGACCUUUCCAGUUUAGUCGUGCCGAUGUCCUAAGGUGGUAGCCACUGCACUCUCCCCGAGUCCCCGCCAUGUUGACUGGUAGAGGAGCUCGUGCAGUCGCGCAAUCUAAGGUUCUGAGUAACUUGUCUUCUGACUGUUGAGAGUUUAGAUUUCCGGAUAACUGAGCAUACUACUCCGUACUUUUUAGGUGUACGUACAAUUGUUAAUAUCGUGUGGGGUAUACAGUAUUUAUUUCGUACACCAAAGUGGUUGAUUUGAAUUAACCCUAACCUUUCAUUUUCGUUUCUACUUGUACAAAUUCUACAUAUUUGUAGUUUUAUUCUUUAACACAAGGCCAGGGUUUUAUGGUUCAUUUUUUCGGCUUAUUUGAUCUCUCUCAUUAAUACAAGUUUUACGUUUUUGGAGUACC